AUUGAACGCUGGCGGCAGGCCUAACACAUGCAAGUCGAACGGUAACAGGAAGAAGCUUGCUUCUUUGCUGACGAGUGGCGGACGGGUGAGUAAUGUCUGGGAAACUGCCUGAUGGAGGGGGAUAACUACUGGAAACGGUAGCUGAUACCGCAUAACGUCGCAAGACCAAAGAGGGGGACCUUCGGGCCUCUUGCCAUCGGAUGUGCCCAGAUGGGAUUAGCUAGUAGGUGGGGUAACGGCUCACCUAGGCGACGAUCCCUAGCUGGUCUGAGAGGAUGACCAGCCACACUGGAACUGAGACACGGUCCAGACUCCUACGGGAGGCAGCAGUGGGGAAUAUUGCACAAUGGGCGCAAGCCUGAUGCAGCCAUGCCGCGUGUAUGAAGAAGGCCUUCGGGUUGUAAAGUACUUUCAGCGGGGAGGAAGGGAGUAAAGUUAAUACCUUUGCUCAUUGACGUUACCCGCAGAAGAAGCACCGGCUAACUCCGUG
rnacentral:rRNA from 1 species